rnacentral:lncRNA from 1 species
ACAACAUUCCCCAAGACUUCCACAGACUCUAGCCAAAACUCACACGUGACAAAAUAUUAUGUUCAAAAGGAAACAACUCGGAGUCGCCACCUGACAAUGAUUUCAAUGUACCAGGUUACCGUUUUUUUUAAAAAAAAAAUCCUUUUAAAAAACUUUGGACCCCAAACUAAGUCUUCACCAGAGAUUCAGGUAAGGGGGUUCAUCUAACAUGGAGAAAAGGUGUUAAGCAUUCCCCUAAUCCUAUAACUAGUACAGUUGCAUACUUGAUCUAGUUGGCUUUCAAAACAUUCAAAUUGAGGUAAAAUAACAGAAAAGGAAAAUAAAUACAAAAGAGGCUCAAGGUUGUUCCUACCUAAAUGAAAGAAAAUUAUAAAUAGGAAAAUUAAAGUUCUAAAUUAUCCUACGCUACUUCUACGAUGUGCGCCCCAGCCUCCAAUUACAGAAUACUACGGGGAAUUCCCCAGAAUAAAAUAUGUGCAAAUCCUUCGGGACAUUUUCCAUAUAAUUUAACUAAAGUAACGACAUCUCGCCUUAAAACUAACAAUAAUCCUAAAGUAUUCCUACCCAAGUGUUGUCGACCUAAGUAUGCUACUAACGUUAAACGAAACUAGUAAUAACAAAAUAGAAUUAGAACAUGUCAUCUACUAUCUAGUUCUCUUAAACUUAAUUCUGUUCAAACUCUCGUGACCCAAUCCUACUUAUUCUAAAUUACUUCCCCCAUUAUUGUUUUCAUUAGAACUUGGCGACACCACACAUACAACAAGACAAGAGUCCAUAAGUUGUUACAAUUAAAGUUUCAACCAAAAAUCAACGUGGAAAAAUUAAAACUAAUCAUAGGCAAAUCAGAAAAGAAAAGAACAGAAGAUAGCAUGGACCUUCAGAGCUUUGAAUCGCAAAACAUAGUCAACCUUUACCGGAACCUCGAAUCGAAACUUGUUUUGGUGCAAGAACCAAGGUCGACGGCUUCAAAUCUAUUGUCAACUCUGCUUUGAAUUCUAACCUCUCGAAAAGCAGCGGACAAGGGAAUUAAGGGAGAUAGAAGUGAGCUUAAAGGACAAAAUUUGUUGUUAGAACCUAAAUCGUCGUUGCUGGAAUUUCAUAGGACUUAUAGUCAAUUGAUAGAGUUUCACAACACGUCUAUUCUCUUUCUUUUUUGCCCGUUCUCUGCUUUUGAAAUUCUCGUCCAGUUUUGAGCCAAAACUGAAGCCAAAAUCAAAUUCACUUUCCCUUAAAUUCUGUUCGUGGCCCUCUCCCCUGUUCCGUGUGUGUGUAUGUGUGUGUUUUCUAACUGUUAGGAAUAUGUAAAAAGGUGGUGCAGCUGACUUGUUAAGGAUCUGAAUGCUGGUGAAGGGAUGGGUGAACUCGCCGGCUUUAUUGAGUUUUUUCGACGAUUUUGUAUUUGGUGGAGUCGACGACGUUGUGGUGUGAGGCUAGAGAUGAGACAUGAGUGGAGGAAUUAAAGAAGAAAGGAACCAGUAGGUUCGCCAGGGUUUGGGUGUUGGAGACGGCUGUGUGAUGGUCUCUUAGAUCUAGGGUUCUGGCGGUUGGUUUUGUUGUGAAAAAGAAGAGCGAACAAUGGUGUUGGCCAGCAGUUUAGGGAUGCUGGCUAUGGAGGACAGCGGCGCUAGUUUAGGAUGUGGCGGCUGAGUUUGGUGGUGUGGAAGAAGGUAACGGCUUGGGGGUCUUUUUAGGAUUAGAGUUUUAGGUUGUAAUUGGG